rnacentral:rRNA from 1 species
GAUGAACGCUGACAGAAUGCUUAACACAUGCAAGUCUACCAAGAAUCACUUCGGUGAGGAAUGGUGGCGGACGGGUGAGUAACGCGUAAAUAAUCUGCCCUUUAGACUGGGAUAUCCUUUGGAAACGAAGGUUAAUACCGGAUAUUAUGAGAUGGACGCAUGUUCAACUUAUGAAAGCUAAAUGCACAAGAGGAGGAGUUUGCGUCCCAUUAGCUAGUUGGUGAGGUAAAGGCUCACCAAGGUCAGGAUGGGUAACCGGCCUGAGAGGGUGAACGGCCACAAGGGAACUUAGACACGGUCCUUACUCCUACGGGAGGCAGCAGUGGGGAAUAUUGGACAAUGGACCAAAAGUCUGAUCCAGCAAUUCUGUGUGCACGAUGAAGGUCUUCGGAUUGUAAAGUGCUUUCAGUAGGGAAGAAAAAAUGACGGUACCUACAGAAGAAGCGACGGCUAAAUAUGUGCCAGCCGCCGCCGUAA